CCUGCCCAGCUCCCUCCACCAUCUCACCAUCUCACUGCAGCACCUGCCCAGCUGAUGAUCCUGAACAGCUGUCUUAAAGUUAUUGAGAAGAGAGUAGAUGGUGUGUUUGCUGCCAACAGCCAUGUUAUAGCUGCCUGGUUUCCACCAUCUUCGCUGAAUCCGAUGCAACACCUGCCGCAAAAUGCAGCAAACCUCCAAUGGCUUCUCCUUCCAGUGUGGGAACCUGGACACUGGACACUCUGUGUCUGAACAACAGAGGUCGCAAGACUGCAAGAGGCGACGGGAGGAAAAGGCAAUGCAGGAUGAAGAGGUUGUGAGGUUCCACAAAAGAAGCAGGCCAUAAUUUGAAUGCGUCAUGAGUGAGCGCUGCUGGGGGGUUCACUAAUGCCUCAAAAUGUAUUAGUUGUCAUGAUCUGUCUGUGUAUUAUUUUGUCCUGUCUUGUCUGUUGCUUUCUGUGUUCAAUAACAUUGAAAGUCCUG